UACGUAGGGGGCAAGCGUUGUCCGGAAUUAUUGGGCGUAAAGGGCGUGUAGGCGGCCCGAUAAGUCCGCUGUGAAAGUCCAGGGCUCAACCCUGGAAUGCCGGUGGAUACUGUCGGGCUCGAGUCCGGAAGAGGCGAGUGGAAUUCCUGGUGUAGCGGUGAAAUGCGUAGAUAUCAGGAGGAACACCAGUGGCGAAGGCGGCUCACUGGCCCGGUACUGACGCUGAGGUGCGAAAGCGUGGGGAGCAAACAGG
rnacentral:rRNA from 1 species